rnacentral:rRNA from 1 species
UACGUAGGCAGCAAGCGUUGUUCGGAGUUACUGGGCGUAAAGGGUGUGUAGGCGGUCCUCUAAGUUUGGUGUGAAAUCUCCCGGCUCAACUGGGAGGUGGCGCCGAAAACUGGAGGGCUAGAGUACUGGAUGGGAGAGUGGAAUUCCUGGUGUAGCGGUGAAAUGCGUAGAUAUCAGGAGGAACACCUGUGGUGUAGACGGCUCUCUGGACAGUAACUGACGCUGAGACACGAAAGCGUGGGUAGCAAACAGG